rnacentral:rRNA from 1 species
GACGAACGCUGGCGGCGUGCUUAACACAUGCAAGUCGAACGGUGAAGCUCCAGCUUGCUGGAGUGGAUCAGUGGCGAACGGGUGUGUAACACGUGAGCAACCUGCCCCUGACUCUGGAAUAAGCGCUGGAAACGGCGUCUAAUACUGGAUACGAGAAGGGUCCGCAUGGGCAUUUUCUGGAAAGUUUUUCGGUUGGGGAUGGUCUCGCGGCCUCUGAGCUUGUUGGAGAGGUAAUGGCUCACCAAGGCGACGACGGGUAGCCGGCCUGAGAGGGCGACCGGCCACAAUGGCCCUGAGACACGGCCCAGACUCCUACGGGGGGAAGCAGUGGGGAAUAUUGCACAAAGGGCGAAAGCCUGGUGGAGCGACGCCGCGUGCGGGAGGACGGCAUUCAGGUUGUAAACCUCUUCAGCAGGGCAGAAGCGAAAGUGACGUUACCUGCAGAAGAAGCACCGGCUAACUACGUG